AUUAGAUACCCCAGUAGUCAAAGCAGAAAAUGAUGAAUGUCAUAGAUUAGAUAAACAAUUUAUUCUAUAAAUGAAAGUGUAAGCAUUCCACCUCAAGAGUAAUUUGGCAACAUUGGAACUGAAAUCAUUAGACCGUUUCUGAAACCAGUAGUGAAGUAUGUUGUUUAAUUUGAUGAUACGCAAAAAACCUUACCACAAUUUGAAUAUUUAUAUAUAUCUUUUAUUGAUUUUUACUAACAUAUAUGUAGACAAUUAAAAUGAUGCUUAUCUCUCGUUUGUGAGACUAAGCAUCAAAAAAGAUAGUAUAUUUACAAGCGUUGCACGGCUGUCUUCAGUUAAUGUCGUGAGAUUUUGGUUAGUUCCAUUAAAUUAACGUAAACCCUUACUUUAUUUUUAUAUAAAGUAGUUCUCCGCUAUAUUGGAUAUGAUAACAGGGACUAAGACAAGU
rnacentral:rRNA from 1 species